rnacentral:rRNA from 1 species
AUUGAACGCUGGCGGCAGGCUUAACACAUGCAAGUCGAGCGGAGAUGAGGUGCUUGCACCUUAUCUUAGCGGCGGACGGGUGAGUAAUGCUUAGGAAUCUGCCUAUUAGUGGGGGACAACAUUCCGAAAGGAAUGCUAAUACCGCAUACGUCCUACGGGAGAAAGCAGGGGAUCUUCGGACCUUGCGCUAAUAGAUGAGCCUAAGUCGGAUUAGCUAGUUGGUGGGGUAAAGGCCUACCAAGGCGACGAUCUGUAGCGGGUCUGAGAGGAUGAGCCGCCACACUGGGACUGAGACACGGCCCAGACUCCUACGGGAGGCAGCAGUGGGGAAUAUUGGACAAUGGGGGGAACCCUGAUCCAGCCAUGCCGCGUGUGUGAAGAAGGCCUUAUGGUUGUAAAGCACUUUAAGCGAGGAGGAGGCUACUGAGACUAAUACUCUUGGAUAGUGGACGUUACUCGCAGAAUAAGCACCGGCUAACUCUGUGCCAGCAGCCGCUGAAUAC